rnacentral:lncRNA from 1 species
CUUAACUUAUUACAUUAAAAAUCAGAUUGUCCUUGUUAUAUUAUCAAGAUAGUACUAUUAACUUGCAUGAUCAGUACGUAGUACUUUUAUUACAAGUAUGCUUAUAGUUUGAGAAAUUUGAAACACAUAUGAGUUAGUCAAGGACAGUCCAUAUUAAUUGAUUGCAGAUGCACUGAACGUAUAGUUUCUUCUUGGGGAUCAUAAUUAAGGUUGCUUCACAUAACUUUAAUGGAUAUAUGCAUAUAUUAUUUGCAUCGAUCCUCAGCCCCUUUUAACUUAACAGUAUGUUAAGAGGACAUGAAGUUGCCUAAAAGCAGUUUUAAACUUUCAUGUUUGUGCUCGAUCGCUUCAAUCACAAAAGCUAUAUAUAUCUAGGCUGUUCAGUUGUACCUCCGGAGAUGAACAAACUCUAUACUGUUCUGAAUGGGUCUCGAUCUUCGAUAUAUAUGUUAUUAUUUAAUUGUCACGAAAUAAUUGUUUGGAGCUCACUUGCUUCACACGGUAUGACCAGGACCCCUGGUUGAUCAAAUCCAAAUUCUUGUGCUGCCGCUUCCAGAAGCUUACAAAUGAAGGAUGUCUUAGAUAAUAUAAUGCAACUUGGAAUUUCUUCAGCUCAUUGUUGCCUAUGCUGAGCACAGAGAAAUACCCUUCCUUCAGAUUUUCCCCCACAUCUACGAGGCUGUUGCUAAUUUUGGCUUUUCCACUGCUUAGGUAGAGAAAUCCUAGUCGGAUUUUCUUCACUGCAUGCUUAAUCCUUAUGAAGGACCACCUUAUCUUCCUGCAUCUCGUUUUAGACUGAUUUAUAUGCCGUGAGCUCCUUUUUCUCAAGAAAUUCAAAAUGUGUGCUUUUUGUAAUGGGGGAGCUUCUGUUUGAUUGAUUGUGAGAGAUGAAGGUGAUCUCAAUUUUGGUUAUUAUAUAUAUAGUACUGUCUUGAUUGUUU